AUGGCCUUGCAUGAGACUUUACAUGGCAUGAUGUCUCAAAAGGAUGUGAGGGACGAGAACAAGCGGCAAAGAAAGGACGAGCAAAUGAAGCAAUACCUAGAGCUUCAAAGAAAGAAGCUUGAGAUGGAGGAGGCGGCCGAGAAGAGGAAGUUGAUUUGGAGGAGGCGUCCCGGCAAAGGCAGCUCGACAUCGAGGCCACCAAUGUUACGGCCAGGCAGAGGCAGCUCGACAUCGAGGCAACCAAUGCCGCAACCAAACAAAGGAGGUGGCCCUUGCGAUCAUGAGCGUGGACUUGACCAAGAUGAGCGAGAAUGGUUCGAGGCCAGGCAGAAGGAGAUGUUCGACGUCGACGGCCUGAACUAG
rnacentral:rRNA from 1 species